rnacentral:rRNA from 1 species
CGCGUAUAGAAUCUGCCUUACACUGAGGGAUAGCCUUUGGAAACGAAGAUUAAUACCUCAUAGUAUUAUUGAAUGGCAUCAUUUGAUAAUUAAAGGUUACGGUGUAAGAUGACUAUGCGUCCUAUUAGUUAGUUGGUAAGGUAACGGCUUACCAAGGCAGCGAUAGGUAGGGGUCCUGAGAGGGAGAUCCCCCACACUGGUACUGAGACACGGACCAGACUCCUACGGGAGGCAGCAGUGGGGAAUAUUGCACAAUGGGCGCAAGCCUGAUGCAGCCAUGCCGCGUGUGUGAAGAAGGCC